AUUGAACGCUGGCGGCAGGCCUAACACAUGCAAGUCGAACGAGUGGCGGACGGGUGAGUAAUGUCUGGGAAACUGCCCGAUGGAGGGGGAUAACUACUGGAAACGGUAGAUAAUACCGCAUACCAUCGGAUGAGCCAAGAUGGGAUUAGCUAGUAGGUGGGGUAAUGGCUCACCUAGGCGACGAUCCCUAGCUGGUCUGAGAGGAUGACCCUCCCCACUGGACCUGAGACACGGUCCAGACUCCUACGGGAGUCAGCAGUUGUGAAUCUUCCACAAUGGGCGCAAGCCUGAUGCAGCCAUGCCGCGUGUAUGAAGAAGGCCUUCGGGUUGUAAAGUACUUUCAGCGGGGAGGCGUUACCCGCAGAAGAAUCACCGGCUAACUCCGUGCCAGCAGCCGCGGUGAUAC
rnacentral:rRNA from 1 species